rnacentral:rRNA from 1 species
GAUGAACGCUGGCGGCGUGCCUAAUACAUGCAAGUCGAGCGAAGCGGGGACGGGUGAGUAACACGUGGAUAACCUCCUAUAAGACUGGGAUAACUUCGGGAAACCGGAGCUAAACCGGAUACUUAUCGAUGGAUCCGUGCUGCAUUAGCUAGUUGGUAAGGUAACUGCUCACCAAGGCCACGAUCCAUAGCCGGCCUGAGAGGGUGAUCUGCCACACUGGAACUGAGACACGGUCCAGACUCCUACGGGAGGCAGCAGUAGGGAAUCUUGCGCAAUGGGCGAAAGCCUGACGGAGCAACGCCGCGUGAGUGAUGAAGGUCUUCGGAUUGUAAAAUUCUUUUAGUAGGGAAGCGUUACCCAAUCAGAAAGCACCGGCUAACUCCGUGCCAGCAGCCGCGGUAAUAC